CUUCCACCACUAGUGUUUUUUGUUGAUGGCGCAGUGGCUGCAGUUUUUUAGUUUUUGAGGCGCUCUCAACCACCAUGGACUUCGCCAGCGUGCUCGGAAAGAGCGAGGCGCACCAGCGCACCGUUAUCCAUCUGGACAUGGACUAUUUCUACGCACAGGUGGAGGAGAUCCGGGAUCCAACGCUACGCACCAAAGCCCUUGGCAUUCAACAGAAAAAUAUUGUAGUUACCUGCAAUUAUGUUGCCCGAGCUAGAGGUGUCUCCAAACUGAUGCUCAUCGAGGAGGCGCAGCGGCUGUGCCCGGACUUGGUUCUAGUCAACGGCGAAGAUCUUGCGCCAUAUCGACAGAUGUCGCAAAAGAUCUUCGACUUGCUGCUGAACUACACGCCGUUGGUGGAGAAGCUGGGCUUCGACGAGAACUUUAUGGAUGUGACGUCCCUGGUGGAGCUCCGUCAGGCCCACAACGCUGAGGCGCAGCAGAAACCAGCCGUGGGUCAUAUCUAUCCGGAGGACGGUACUCCCUUGUCGGCUUGUGAUUGUGGCUGUGCCCAGAGGCUGGCCAUUGGUUCGCGGAUAGCUCAGGAAAUCAGGGAGGAGCUUAAGCUUAGGCUGGGCAUCACGUGCUGUGCCGGGAUCUCCUACAACAAACUCCUGGCGAAGCUCGUCGGCAGCAGCCACAAACCGAAUCAACAAACUGUCCUCGUUUCAACCUACGCCGAGCAAUUUAUGCGCGACCUGGGCGAUCUAAAGCGAAUCACGGGAAUUGGUCAGAAAACGCAAUGUUUGCUCCUGGAGGCUGGUAUGUCCACGGUGGAGCAACUGCAGCAGUGUGAUAUGGACGUGAUGCGAAAGAAGUUCGGCUUUGAAACUGCCACUAGGCUAAGAGAUCUAGCUUUUGGUCGGGACACGGGCUUGGUGCGACCAACUGGGAAGCCGAAAACCAUUGGCAUGGAGGACUCUUGCAAGCCCAUUUCUGUGCGAACAGACGUCGAGGAAAGGUUCCGAAUGCUGCUGAAGCGAUUGGUCGAGCAGGUUUCAGAGGACGGACGCAUUCCCAUAUCCAUCAAAGUGGUGCUGCGCAAGUUCGACUCCCAGAAGAAAAGCAGUCAUCGCGAAACCAAGCAAGCCAACAUCCUGCCUUCUCUCUUCAAAACGUCCGUGUGUCCAGGAGAAACUGGAGUGAGCAAAGUCCAACUAGCGGACGGAGCACAAGAUAAACUUCUUAAAAUUGUCAUGCGCCUGUUUGAGCGAAUUGUGGAUUUGAGCAAACCCUUUAAUAUCACCCUGCUCGGACUGGCCUUCUCCAAGUUCCAGGAACGGAAAGUUGGCUCCUCGUCCAUUGCCAAUUUUCUGAUCAAGAAGGCGGAUCUAGAGGUUCAGUCCAUAACCUCGCUGACAAAUACAAGCCUAACGAGUCCCACAGCCGAGAGUCCGACCUCGGAUGAAAGCGCCUUUCGAUCCUCUCCAACUACUUUCAAGCCGAGCGAUCAGUUCUACAGGCGACGGGCCACCACGGCAUCGCCGGUGCCGAUGAUGAUGGACAAUGGCUCGGAAUCGGCGGCCACUAAUUCGGAUUUCAGUGAUUUUUCUGAGACGGAGGUGGAGCCAUCACCGAAAAAGAGUCGAGUUGGCCGACUACUCGUGUCCAAGCGCAGCCGACUGGCGGCGGAUGUUGGGGAGAAUGCCGCAGAUGUCGCCUCGCCCAGCAAAUUACGCGUCUGUGAUCUGCGUUUGAAUUCGCGGGACAGCGAGAAGGACUUCCCCAUUAGCACAACGCCCACAGCUUCCACAUCAGCGGCGGCUCCUCGCUUCCGCACCGUCCAGCCACCGAAUACGCUAAUGCAGCGGAUCGACGGCAGCCUUCGCUUUUUGUCCACGCGCACCACAAGCCGCCUCAGCUCGAACGCCAGCUCUACUGCCUCCUCGCCACUUCCCUCGCCCAUGGACGACUCUGCAAUGAGCGCGCCAAGUACUCCAACGACGGCUUUUGCUUCGCCCAUCGCAGCUAUGGUCACCACCACCACCGCCACCACCAGCAGCCUUACUGACAUCGCCUGUCCAGCUGGUGUGGAUGCGGAGGUCUUCAAGGAACUACCUGUUGAGUUGCAGACGGAGCUAAUCGCCUCGUGGCGCACCUCACUAGUGGCGGCAGUGGAGCAAACCAACGGUGGUGAAAGAAGGGCUAAUCCUAGUGCCGCGCCAGCUGCAGCAACCACUGCGAGUGGUGGGGGCCAGAAAAAUACAUUGUAUCGCUACUUUUUGCGAAACAAGUGAAGCAGUGCAUCAACUAUUAUUGGCAGCCAAGAGCAUCACAUCACCUAUAGUUGUGAUACGGUUACAGAUUAUAUUUCCGAGGUCGCCGCUUUGGACCAUCGUAAGAUAAGAUAAAUUCGGGUAGGUCGCUUCACAAAGACUUGAGAUACAUUUUAAAAUCGUAUAGACUUUGUCUAAAGAAAUGUAAGGCAAAUGAUUUUUUGUAACAUUGAAUUUCCUAAUAUAUAUAUUUUCAUAAAUUAUUCAAGAGACAAAUACAUCACAUUUUAUUUUUCGAAGAAGGCUUGUAAGGAAUAGUUUGUUGAAGUAAUCGACGCGACUCACAGAAAUAACUUGAAAUACUCGAUGCGUCAGUCAGUUUUGCGGCUGGAGGCAGUUGAAAAAUAUUAAUUGUACAUACAUUUCUCGAUUUGGUGCUAAUUUCCAAGCCGCGAACCUAAAGAGGAACACAGAGUAGUGUUGAAAUAAGUUUAUUACACUUCAAAUUUGUUUACUCCAUUAUUAUCAUACAUUCAAGAUUAAAAAAUUGGUUGGGUUACCUACUUACGCAUAAGUUAAUACAGAAUAUAUCUCAUUCCCCGGACAUCUCUCAACGACAACGAAAGGAACAAAACCAGCUAAUUGAGCUCGACUUGAUACAAGUUUCUUAGUUCUUACCUCUCAAUGGCAACGAAAGUUAAACAGUAUAAAAUAUAUGUGGUCUUAUGCUAACGAUGUUAUAAUAAAGUUAAGUCCUUAGUUUAGGAAA
rnacentral:misc_RNA from 1 species